rnacentral:tRNA from 1 species
UCUGUUGUGGCUCAGCGGUAGAGCGCUCGUCUUGCACGUGCGGAGUCCUGGGUUCAAUCCUCAGCACCACAU